CUUUCUGUGCAGUCAGCUAAAAGCAGUGGUCUGUCCCACUGGCUUUGCAUUGUAGCUAUUUGUUGCCAGUCAUCUUUGCAGCCAUCUUUGAGAUCUUGUUGGCCAUUCUUCUUCCGUGUGUUUCUGGCAUUCUUUCAGGGUUUUCUUCCCUGUGUUGUCAUGAACUCAGGUCUUUCUUGCUGGCCUCUUCUGCAUCAAUAUUCCUGACUUUGCCAGCCCCUUUCCAUCACGGGUGGUGGCGUUUAACUCUCUUCUGGGCUCGUCCAGAGCAUCGGAGCCACAUGGUUGUGGCCUCAUAGGGCUUUCUGGCUGGCAGUGUCUUAUGUGUAGGAAUAGUUUUUUUUGUGUAGGGUUUUCCUUUGUGUCUGUGUCUGAUAUUUGUGUGUCUGUCUGUUUGGUGCUGGAGCUGCCUUGCUUGUGGGUUUUAGCUMUGGUAGUGUGCAGAGGAGAGUAGUGAUGGAAUGGUGAUUAGUCAGCAUCUGUGUGCUCCACUUUAUGUUGUGUGUGUGUUUUGUUAUAUAUUUUUUUUUGUAGAUGUGGCACAGCAGUUGGAGUGCCUGAGGGAGAUGGAGGAAGAAAGGGUCAUGCCCUAGGAAGGUGUGGAGGAAUGUGGAGAGUGGGUCGUUUGCGUGUGGGAGGAGCACGGCAAGGUGCAUGACAGGCCUCGGCGUGGCAGCCGGUUGCAUGGCAGUUGGGAUGGGCGAGCAGAGCAGGUGAAGGUGUGGGAGCAAAUGCUUGAUGUGGGUGGGCUGUGGUUUUGCAGGUGUGACCCGAGCGCCUGCUUUCUGUUUGUGUUUGCAAGUUUUGCAGGAAGUUGUGGAGAGGCAAAGUUGAGUGUUGACAAGAGCCUGAGCAGGUCCUGUGUGGGCCUUUCCCAGGCAUGGCUGAGGAUGUCAGGUGCUGCGGGUGUCCCCCCAAGCACAAUUUUGGAGUUUGGGAUUGGUGUGGUGCAGGUGAGCAGAGCGUCCAUGGCGCUUUGGUGGUGGGCGCUCUUGCGGACGAGGCUGGAGCUGACUGGCCUGGGGGUGA
rnacentral:lncRNA from 1 species